rnacentral:rRNA from 1 species
GGACCCGCACAAGUAGUGGAGCAUGUGGUUUAAUUCGAAGAUACGCGCAGAACCUUACCAACACUUGACAUGUUCGUCGCGACUUUAAGAGAUUAAAGUUUUCGGUUCGGCCGGACGAAACACAGGUGCUGCAUGGCUGUCGUCAGCUCGUGUCGUGAGAUGUUGGGUUAAGUCCCGCAACGAGCGCAACCCUCACUUUUAGUUGCCAUCAUUUAGUUGGGCACUCUGAAAGAACUGCCAGUGAUAAGCUGGAGGAAGGUGGGGAUGACGUCAAGUCCUCAUGGCCCUUACGUGUUGGGCUACACACGUGCUACAAUGGUAUCCACAACAGGAAGCGAAACAGCGAUGUUGAGCAAAUCCUUAAAAGAUACCUCAGUUCGGAUUGCACUCUGCAACUCGAGUGCAUGAAGCUGGAAUUACUAGUAAUCGU